rnacentral:rRNA from 1 species
UACAGAGGUCUCAAGCGUUGUUCGGAUUCAUUGGGCGUAAAGGGUGCGUAGGCGGCGCGGUAAGUCGGGUGUGAAAUCUCGGGGCUUAACUCCGAAACUGCAUUCGAUACUGCCGUGCUUGAGGACUGGAGAGGAGACUGGAAUUUACGGUGUAGCGGUGAAAUGCGUAGAUAUCGUAAGGAAGACCAGUGGCGAAGGCGGGUCUCUGGACAGUUCCUGACGCUGAGGCACGGAAGGUCAGGGGGAGCAAAACGGGG